rnacentral:rRNA from 1 species
GACGUAGGGCGCGAGCGUUGUCCGGAUUUAUUGGGCGUAAAGAGCUCGUAGGCGGCUUGUCGCGUCGAAUGUGAAAUCUCAGGGCUCAACUCUGACAUUGCAUUCGAUACGGGCAGGCUAGAGUUCGGUAGGGGAGACUGGAAUUCCUGGUGUAGCGGUGGAAUGCGCAGAUAUCAGGAGGAACACCAAUAGCGAAGGCAGCUCGCUGGGACGGUACUGACGCUAAGGCGCGAAAGCGUGGGGAGCGAACAGG